UUAGCGGCGGACGGGUGAGUAACACGUGGGUAACCUGCCUGUAAGACUGGGAUAACAUUCGGAAACGAAUGCUAAUACCGGAUACGCGGCUUGGUCGCAUGACCGAGCCGGGAAAGAUGGAGCAAUCUAUCACUUAUAGAUGGACCCGCGGCGCAUUAGCUAGUUGGUGAGGUAACGGCUCACCAAGGCGACGAUGCGUAGCCGACCUGAGAGGGUGAUCGGCCACACUGGGACUGAGACACGGCCCAGACUCCUACGGGAGGCAGCAGUAGGGAAUCUUCCGCAAUGGACGAAAGUCUGACGGAGCAACGCCGCGUGAGUGAUGAAGGUUUUCGGAUCGUAAAGCUCUGUUGCCAGGGAAGAAUGCUUGGGAGAGUAACUGCUCUCAAGGUGACGGUACCUGAGAAGAAAGCCCCGGC
rnacentral:rRNA from 1 species